rnacentral:lncRNA from 1 species
AAUCAACACUCCACUCAGACAAUGCCCAGACCUCCAGAAACCAUGUGUCAAGCUCGGAUUGCCUUAGACAGGUGCAAUUUAAGAACAGCUUUCAUCCUCUUUUCUCUCAUAUUGUCACACUAUGUGUUCUGACUUCUGGCUCCUUUCCUCACAAGAAGCUCACCCAGCUGGAACUCUUAUGGGACCUUGGCACCAGAGACCACAAAUUCCUCUUUGAAGUUUUCUAACAGCAACAAUGGUAUUUCUGACUUGGCUUUCUUGUAUUUCUCUCACGUUAACAAAAUUGGUUCAGCAUCUACCAUGGGCUACAUGCUGAGCUACAGAGUUUCGCUCUGUCGCCCAGGCUGGAGUGCAGUGGCGCGCGAUCUCGGUUCACUGCAAGCUCCACCUCCCGGGUUCACGCCAUUCUCCUGCCUCAGCCUCCUGAGUAGCUGGGACUACAGGCGCCCGCCACCACACCCAGCUUGAAAUAACACGGUGCUAAGCAUGGAUUUUUCCACCGAAUGAGGAAAUUCUAAUUCUAAUUGUUAGUCUCUUUAUCAAUGACGCCAAGUGGCAAGGAACAUCACCAUCUUUGGAGACCUAGUGGUGGAGUUAAACUACUACAGGGAAACAACUUUACGUAUAGAGGAGUUGAGCUUCCUAGAGGAAAAGAAGGAAAAUCAUUCCUAAUGGAAGAUCAACUAUUCAAGAAAGAAAGAAGAGCAAUGAGAAAGGGAACUGCCACAGCCACCUCAACCUUCAGCAAACACCACCCUGACCAGUGAGUGGCAAUCAACAUUGAGGCAAGACCUUUCAGCAAAAAGAUUAUAAUUCUCUGAAGACUCAGAUGAUCAUUAGCAUUUCUAGCAACAAUGUAUUUUUAAAUUAAGAUAUUUGAUGUGAUUCACCAGUACAGCCAUAUGAAGAUGAUAUUUUGAUUUUAGGAAUGUUUCAUUACAAAUGCAAUUCCUUCAACAGAGAGCUGACAUACUGUGAGGAUGUUCAGGUAGCCCUGUGGAGAAUCCCACAUUGGGAUGAACUGAGACCUUCUGCCAACAGUAAUCUGAGUGAGCCCUCUUGGAAGCGGAUCCUGUAGGCAUGGUCAAGCCAUCAGAUGAUUUCUCAUGUGGUUGCAACCUUGGCUGACAGUUUGAUCCAGCUAAGCCAUUCCCAGAUUCCUGACCCUCAGAAAUUAUGUGAAUAAUAAAUGUUUGUUGUUUGA